AAUAUUCCGUGACUUCCGUAUUUUUAAUGGAGUGACGAAGAUUAGUAUGCUAGGCGCAUUACUGGAUUUGCGUUAUUGGCGUAAGGAACGCAGGCAGGAAAAUCCGCCCGCGCCCGCAAGGGAAAUUCCAAGCGCAAAUGAAAUAUUCCGUUUAUAGCGGAAUAAAUUUAGCAAAGCAGUCUUCCAAGAAAAGCUUCUAAGCCCCGCUUUAGCGGGGAAAGAAAUACGGAAACCGUACCGAAAACCGACACAGGUGGAUAGGUCGAGAAGACCAAGGCGAACGGGUGAGUUCUUCCCAAGGAACUCGGCAAAAAAGCGACCGUAACUUCGGGAUAAGGUCUGCCCGCCGCAAGGCGGGCCGCAGCGAAAGUUUCUCUGGCGACUGUUUAUCAAAAACACAGCUCCCUGCGAACUCGUAAGAGGAUGUAUAGGGGGUGACACCUGACCAAUGCGAGAAGGUCAAAUACGGAGGGUUUUCGCCGCAAGGCGGAAGCUGGACUGUAUAAGCCCUCGUGAAUGUCGGCCGUAACUAUAACGGUCCUAAGGUAGCGAAAUUCCUUGUCGGGUAAGUUCCGACGCGCACGAAUGGUGUAACGACUGGAGAACUGUCUCGGGAAGUAGCCCGGUGAAAAUACAAUACCGGUGAAGAUGCCGGUUACCUGCAGCUAGACGAAAAGACCCCGGAAGCUUUACUAUAGCUUGGUAUUGGGUUUAGAUUUUUAAUGCGUAGCAUAGACGGGAGGCUUUGAAGUGUCGCUUUUGGGUGACAUGGAGCCGCCAGUAAAAUACCGUUCUUUAAAAAGCUAAAUUCUAACCUUUGCGGCAAAAACGCAAGGAGACAGUGCCUGGUGGGUAGUUUAAUUGGGGCGAUUUCCUCCUAAAAAGUAACGGAGGAGUUUAAAGGUCGGCUAGGCGCGGAUGGAAACCGCGCUGAUAGCGCAAUGGCAAAAGCCGGCUUAACUGCAAGACGGACAUGUCGAGCAGAUGCGAAAGCAGAACAUAGUGAACCGACCAUUCGCUUUAGAAGCGGUGGAAGAUUAACGGAUAAAAGCUACUCCGGGGAUAACAGGCUAGUUCCGCCCAAGCGUCCAUAGCGACGGCGGAGUUCGGCACCUUAACAUAUCGGGGUGCGGCGCGAGAGAUCGCGCAGUCUGGGUUAAAGCAUAUUUAGGAGAAUAUGUUUUGAUUAAAAUAUUUGGCUUAUAACGGUGAACUCCAUGAUAUAAUAUAAUCAUGGACAAUACCGUGGGAAGUCUAACUAAACUUGAACGAUCGAUUAUAAUCGGAUCUCUCUUGGGAGACGGGUACGUGAGAAUCAUGCCCGGCAGAUCAGACGCUUUUUUAGAAAUAAAUCAUUCUAUAAAAGCGAAAGAUUAUGUUGAUUACAAAUUCAAAAAAUUAAAAAGAAUUUGUGAAUCUGCACCAAAGGAAAGAGUGUCUGGUGAUAAUCGUCGUGCGUGUAGGUUUUUUACUAAACAACAUAAAGAUUUAACUAAUCUUUAUUAUAUGUUUUAUAAAAACGGACGCAAAAUAAUACCAAAAGACAUUGACAUUGAUCCUAUUUCCAUAGCCAUUUGGUAUAUGGAUGAUGGGAGUAAAUGUAGAGAUGGCGAUAUCUAUCUUAAUACUCAACAAUUCAGUUUAAACGAUCAAAAGAUUUUAUUGAAUUGCUUAAGAAAAUUGGGCAUAAAUGCUCGUCUUAAUAGAGAUAAGAAAUAUCAUCGUAUUAGAAUCUUGAAGGAAAGCAUAAAAGGUUUUAUGGAUAUUAUUAAACCUUUUGUUGCGCCAUCAAUGAAAUAUAAGUUAGUUAUGACCCCGUAGAGACUGAAGCGCAAGCUGAGAGUGUUUCAAAUGAGAAACGCUAAUACGCCAACUCCUAACUGCGAGUGAUUAUCGCAGAAGGAAGAAGAUAUAGUCCAUACCAUUAGUAAUAAUGGAGAAAUAUACGAUGUCGGCUCAUCUUAUCCUGGGGCUGGAGAAGGUCCCAAGGGUUUGGCUGUUCGCCAAUUAAAAAGAUACGCGAGCUGGGUUCAGACCGUCGUGAGACAGGUUGGUCUCCUAUCUGCUGCAGGCGUUUGAUUCUUGAGGAGAUCUGCUCUUUGUACGAGAGGAUCAGAGUGGACUAACCUCUGGUGUACCAGUUGUUCCGCCAGGAGCAUUGCUGGGUAGCUAUGUUGGGAAGGGAUAACCGCUGAAAGCAUCUAAGCGGGAAGCCCACUCCAAGAUUAGGAAUCUAAGACAGGUUGAAGAUGACAACCUUGAUAGGCUUUAGGUGUAAGUCCGGCAACGGAUUAAGCCGAGAAGUACUAAUUGUCGUCCUAUUAGGAAC
rnacentral:ncRNA from 1 species